rnacentral:tRNA from 1 species
AGAAACUUAGGUUAAUAUACCCAAACCAAGAGCCUUCAAAGCCCUAAACAUAGGACAAAAUCCUAUAGUUUCUG